rnacentral:rRNA from 1 species
UGGGGAAUCUUCCGCAAUGGACGAAAGUCUGACGGAGCAACGCCGCGUGUAUGAUGAAGGUCUUCGGAUUGUAAAGUACUGUCAUUGGGGAAGAACGGUUUUCUUGAAAAGAUUGAGAAGACAUGACGGUACCCAAGGAGGAAGCCCCGGCUAACUACGUGCCAGCAGCCGCGGUAAUACGUAGGGGGCAAGCGUUGUCCGGAAUUAUUGGGCGUAAAGGGCGCGUAGGCGGGCUUUUAAGUCCGGUGUGAAAGAUCAGGGCUCAACCCUGAGAGUGCAUCGGAAACUGGAGGCCUUGAGGACAGGAGAGGAAAGUGGAAUUCCACGUGUAGCGGUGAAAUGCGUAGAUAUGUGGAGGAACACCAGUGGCGAAGGCGACUUUCUGGACUGUAACUGACGCUGAGGCGCGAAAAGCGUGGGGGAGCAAACAGGUUAGGAUACCCUGGUAGUCCACGCCGUAAACGAUGAGUGCUAGGUGUAGAGGGUAUCGACCCCUUCUGUGCCGCAGUUAACACAAUAAGCACUCCC